rnacentral:rRNA from 1 species
GACGAACGCUGGCGGCGUGCCUAAUACAUGCAAGUAGGACGCAGAUGCGCACGGGUGAGUAACGCGUAGGUAUCUACCUAUUAGAGGGGGAUAACUAUUGGAAACGAUAGCUAAUACCGCAUACUAGUAGAUGGACCUGCGGUGUAUUCGCUAGUAGGUAGGGUAAUGGCCUACCUAGGCAACGAUACAUAGCCGACCUGGGAGGGUGGUACGCCACACUGGGACUGGGACACCGGCCAGACUCCUACGGGAGGCAGCAGUAGGGAAACUUCGGGAAUGGGGGGAAACCUGAACGAGCAACGGCGCGGGAGUGAAGAAGGUUUUCGGAUCGUAAAGCCCUGUUGUUAAGGAAGCGGUACUUAACCAGAAAGGGACGGCUAACUACGUGCCAGCAGCCGCGGUAAUAC